CACGUAGGGUGCGAGCGUUGUCCGGAAUUAUUGGGCGUAAAGAGCUCGUAGGCGGUGUGUCGCGUCGGCCGUGAAAACCUGCAGCUCAACUGCAGGCUUGCGGUCGAUACGGGCAGGCUGGAGUUCGGUAGGGGAGACUGGAAUUCCUGGUGUAGCGGUGAAAUGCGCAGAUAUCAGGAAGAACACCCGUGGCGAAGGCGGCUCUCUGGGACGGUACUGACGCUGAGACGCGAAAGCGUGGGGAGCGAACAGG
rnacentral:rRNA from 1 species